rnacentral:rRNA from 1 species
AGACGAACCGAGCGAACGUUGUUCGGAAUCACUGGGCUUAAAGGGCGCGUAGGCGGGCUGUCAAGUCUGGGGUGAAAUCCCGCGGCUCAGCCGUGGAACUGCCUCAGAUACUGACGGCCUCGAGGGAGGUAGGGGCGAGCGGAACUGUGAGUGGAGCGGUGAAAUGCGUUGAUAUUCACAGGAACUCCGGUGGCGAAGGCGGCUCGCUGGACCUUUUCUGACGCUGAGGCGCGAAAGCUAGGGGAGCAAACG